rnacentral:lncRNA from 1 species
AACAAAUAUAACACUAAAUAUAUUCAUGGCUACCGUUUUCCUGCCAUUUUCUGCGAGCCGGCAAAGCAGUACAUAUAAAAGUAGGUAAAUACUUUUAUAUAGAUUGUGAACGAAUGGUGCUCCUAUAGAAAAACGUGAACUAAUGCAUCUGUUUAAUCUGAUGCGAGACCCGAGUGAGUUGAUUACAUGAAAACGGUGCGGGUUUGAGCGCUAACCAUUACAAACCCUACAGGCGGCCUGGUCGCGUAGUCUGGGCCGCUAUCGGUCUGGGGUUUGGCAUUGUAAAGACGACUCCAACACGUAGGAGCAUGGGUCAGAUGGUCCGUAACAGAGUUGACGCGGGAAUCGACUCAGCCGCCCCAUACCAAGCAGUAAUUUAUAGAGAUCUCGCACCCACCUUUGCCGGGCAUCCACGGUUGCAUAAAUUGUUAAAUAUGCCAACUGCAUCGAGGGAAAUGCAAUUACAAUUCAGUUGGAAUAAUAGC